rnacentral:tRNA from 1 species
GCCGAAGUGGUGGAAUUGGCAGACACGCUGGUCUCAAAAACCAGUGGUCUAUUAAACGGCCGUGAGGGUUCGACUCCCUCCUUCGGCA